CCUACGGGGGGCAGCAGUGAGGAAUAUUGGUCAAUGGACGAGAGUCUGAACCAGCCAAGUAGCGUGAAGGAUGACUGCCCUAUGGGUUGUAAACUUCUUUUAUAUGGGAAUAAAAUGUUCCACGUGUGGGAUUUUGUAUGUACCAUAUGAAUGAGGAUCGGCUAACUCCGUGCCAGCAGCCGCGGUAAUACGGAGGAUCCGAGCGUUAUCCGGAUUUAUUGGGUUUAAAGGGAGCGUAGGUGGAUUGUUAAGUCAGUUGUGAAAGUUUGCGGCUCAACCGUAAAAUUGCAGUUGAAACUGGCAGUCUUGAGUACAGUAGAGGUGGGCGGAAUUCGUGGUGUAGCGGUGAAAUGCUUAGAUAUCACGAAGAACUCCGAUUGCGAAGGCAGUUCACUGGACUGCAACUGACACUGAGGCUCGAAAGUGUGGGUAUCAAACAGGAUUAGAUACCCCUGUAGUC
rnacentral:rRNA from 1 species